CUAUACAUGCAGUCGAGCGAACAGAUAAGGAGCUUGCUCCUUUGACGUUAGCGGCGGACGGGUGAGUAACACGUGGAUAACCUACCUAUAAGACUGGGAUAACUUCGGGAAACCGGAGCUAAUACCGGAUAACAUAUUGAACCGCAUGGUUCAAUAGUGAAAGGCGGCUUUGCUGUCACUUAUAGAUGGAUCCGCGCCGUAUUAGCUAGUUGGUAAGGUAACGGCUUACCAAGGCAACGAUACGUAGCCGACCUGAGAGGGUGAUCGGCCACACUGGAACUGAGACACGGUCCAGACUCCUACGGGAGGCAGCAGUAGGGAAUCUUCCGCAAUGGGCGAAAGCCUGACGGAGCAACGCCGCGUGAGUGAUGAAGGUCUUCGGAUCGUAAAACUCUGUUAUCAGGGAAGAACAAAUGUGUAAGUAACUGUGCACAUCUUGACGGUACCUGAUCAGAAAGCCACGGCUAACUACGUGCCAGCAGCGGCCGGUAAUAA
rnacentral:rRNA from 1 species